GUGUGCUAAAUAUGAGUAAAUGUUUAACAAAGUAGUCAAUCAUAUUAAAAAUUCUGUAGCAAAUAAUUUCAUUUGUCCUCACAAGCAUUCAUAAUUUGCAGAUUCCAAAUCAUUGGAAAAUAGACUACAUUCUGCAUUUUUUGUCAAAAUUACUACGAAGCAUAUUAUUUUACAACAUCAUGGCUACACUUAUUAGGACCACUUUGAUACUUUAUACAUGCAUCUGGUUUGUUUUUGUUUUUUUUCAUAAUCUUAACCUAAAAAUAGAAAAAAAGACAUAAAUGAAAUCAUAAAGGGGCACUAGCAGUCAAAUUCAUGUUCACCGAUUCUAAUCAAAUUCUCAUAUUUGAUUUAUAACAUUAAACAAUAUAAAACAUUUAUCCAAACUAUCAAAAGUCUAAAUAAAACAAUAAACAAAGAACAUGCAUGAAAAUACAUAGCUUCGUUUCAUGUGUAUUUGAGUUUACUUAUCGAGUUGACCUCAAUAGUCAUCCGAUGACCAUAUAACAAUGUAAACAUGAAUAUAGAUAUAAAUAGAUUUAGCAAAAAGGUGCUGUCGAAUUAUUCUAGGGCUAUUAAAUUUCAUAUUACAGAUAUACAUUUGUUUUUACCUGUAUUAGAAUGGUUUAUUUGUGGAUCAAAUCAGUCAAUCAAAUGAUUUACCUUUGUUUCACUUUCAAUGUUGACAUUCUCUUUCUUUAAAUAACUUUACACAUACAAUUCAUGUGUUAUCCAUCUCAAGCUGAGGGGUUAAAUUAAGUUCACAUCAAUACGGAUUCAAUGAGGUCGAAUUAUUCACUUGCAAGUGAAUAAUUCAUAAUCCAUGUUUUUUUGCUUAUUUUGACAAAAUUGAACCUUAUUGGCUACUAAAAAGGAAUUAUUAUUUCAAUAAUUG
rnacentral:lncRNA from 1 species